GAAUUAAAUGGAUGAAAUAUGAAGUUUUAUUAAAAGAAAAAGGGGUGAAAAGAACAAAGUUUUGUCCAUCUUUGUUCAUCAUAGCUGAAAGUUAGAGAAGAGAAAGGAGAAGAGAAAGCUCUUGAGUAUUCGGUCAUUAGGAGGAGGAAAAUUGAAGGAAAUCCCCAACCAUAGUGGGCUUGGAGCUGUGAGGGAAUUCGGAGUGGCCACCCGUUCUGAAAGUUUGAUUUUCUUCUAGUGAACUGGACAUCCUUUUAAUUACGUUUGAGGUUUUGGGCUUUUAAAUGUAAUAAGGCCGCUUAUUUAUUUUUGAUGGUUUUUAUAUGUUUUAUUAAGAUAGGUAAUAUUUAUAUUUUAAA